rnacentral:rRNA from 1 species
UUUCCGGUUGAUCCCGCCGGACCUGACUGCUAUCGGAUUGAUACUAAGCCAUGCGAGUCUUUGUAGUAAUACAAGGCAUACGGCUCAGUAACACGUAGUCAACCUACCCUAUGGACAAGAAUAAUCUCGGGAAACUGGGCAUAAUUCUUGAUAGAUCAUAAUGCCUGGAAUGGUUUAUGGUUAAAAUGAUUCGUCGCCAUAGGAUGGGACUGCGGCCUAUCAGCUUGUUGGUGAGGUAAUGGCCCACCAAGGCGAUUACAGGUACGGGCUCUGAGAGGAGAAGCCCGGAGAUGGGUACUGAGACACGGACCCAGGCCCUAUGGGGCGCAGCAGGCGAGAAAACUUUGCAAUGUGCGAAAGCACGACAAGGUUAAUCCGAGUGAUUUCUGCUAAAGAAAUCUUUUGCCAGUCAUAAAACCACUGGUGAAUAAGGGGUGGGCAAGUUCUGGUGUCAGCCGCCGCGGUAAAACCAGCACCUCAAGUGGUCAGGAUGAUUAUUGGGCCUAAAGCAUCCGUAGCCGGCUUUGUUAGUUUUCGGUUAAAUCCAUGUGCUCAACGCAUGGGCUGCCGAAAAUACUGCAUAGCUAGGGAGUGGGAGAGGUAGACGGUACUCAGUAGGAAGGGGUAAAAUCCUUUGAUCUAUUGAUGACCACCUGUGGCGAAGGCGGUCUACCAGAACACGUUCGACGGUGAGGGAUGAAAGCUGGGGGAGCAAACCGGAUUAGAUACCCGGGUAGUCCCAGCUGUAAACGAUGCAGACUCGAUGAUGCAUUGGCAUAAUAGCCAGUGCAGUGUCGCAGGGAAGCCGUUAAGUCUGCCGCCUGGGAAGUACGUACGCAAGUAUGAAACUUAAAGGAAUUGGCGGGGGAGCACCACAAGGGGUGAAGCCUGCGGUUCAAUUGGAUUCAACGCCGGGA